CCUACGGGCGGCAGCAGUGAGGAAUAUUGGUCAAUGGACGAGAGUCUGAACCAGCCAAGUAGCGUGAAGGAUGACUGCCCUAUGGGUUGUAAACUUCUUUUAUAUGGGAAUAAAAUGUUCCACGUGUGGGAUUUUGUAUGUACCAUAUGAAUAAGGAUCGGCUAACUCCGUGCCAGCAGCCGCGGUAAUACGGAGGAUCCGAGCGUUAUCCGGGUUUAUUGGGUUUAAAGGGAGCGUAGGUGGAUUGUUAAGUCAGUUGUGAAAGUUUGCGGCUCAACCGUAAAAUUGCAGUUGAAACUGGCAGUCUUGAGUACAGUAGAGGUGGGCGGAAUUCGUGGUGUAGCGGUGAAAUGCUUAGAUAUCACGAAGAACUCCGAUUGCGAAGGCAGUUCACUGGACUGCAACUGACACUGAGGCUCGAAAGUGUGGGUAUCAAACAGGAUUAGAUACCCUUGUAGUC
rnacentral:rRNA from 1 species